ensembl:snRNA U6 U6 spliceosomal RNA
CUCACUUUGGCUGCACUAUACUAAAAUUAGAACGAUACAGAGAAGAUUAGCAUGGCCCCAGCUCAAGGACGACACACCAAUUCGUGAAGCCAAAACAAAGUUC